rnacentral:tRNA from 1 species
GCCUGGCUGGCUCAGCAGGUGGAGCAGGAGACCCCUGAUCUCGGAGUUGUGAGUUCGAGCCCCAUGUUGGGUG